ACUCCUACGGGAGGCAGCAGUGGGGAAUAUUGCACAAUGGGCGCAAGCCUGAUGCAGCCAUGCCGCGUGUGUGAAGAAGGCCUUCGGGUUGUAAAGCACUUUCAGUCGUGAGGAAGGUAGUGUAGUUAAUAGCUGCAGUAUUUGACGUUAGCGACAGAAGAAGCACCGGCUAACUCCGUGCCAGCAGCCGCGGUAAUACGGAGGGUGCGAGCGUUAAUCGGAAUUACUGGGCGUAAAGCGCAUGCAGGUGGUUUGUUAAGUCAGAUGUGAAAGCCCGGGGCUCAACCUCGGAAUAGCAUUUGAAACUGGCAGACUAGAGUACUGUAGAGGGGGUAGAAUUUCAGGUGUAGCGGUGAAAUGCGUAGAGAUCUGAAGGAAUACCGGUGGCGAAGGCGGCCCCUGGACAGAUACUGACACUCAGAUGCGAAAGCGUGGGAGCAAACAGGAUUAGAUACCCCUGGUAGACUGUCA
rnacentral:rRNA from 1 species